AUUGAACGCUGGCGGCAUGCCUUACACAUGCAAGUCGAACGCGAAAGGGGGGCAACCUCCGAGUAGAGUGGCGAACGGGUGAGUAAUGCAUCGGAACGUAUCCCGUCGUGGGGGAUAACGAGUCGAAAGAUUCGCUAAUACCGCAUACGACCUGAGGGUGAAAGCGGGGGACCGGCAACGGCCUCGCGCGAGGGGAGCGGCCGAUGUCCGAUUAGCUAGUUGGCGGGGUAAGAGCCCACCAAGGCGACGAUCGGUAGCUGGUCUGAGAGGACGGCCAGCCACACUGGAACUGAGACACGGUCCAGACUCCUACGGGAGGCAGCAGUGGGGAAUUUUGGACAAUGGGGGCAACCCUGAUCCAGCCAUGCCGCGUGAGUGAAGAAGGCCUUCGGGUUGUAAAGCUCUUUUGGCGGGAACGAAAUCGCGUCCGUGAACAACGGGCGUGGAUGACGGUACUCGCAGAAUAAGCACCGGCUAACUACGUGCCAGCAGCCGCCGUAACAC
rnacentral:rRNA from 1 species